GCUGGCGGGAUGCUUUACACAUGCAAGUCGAACGGCAGCAUGGAGAGCUUGCUCUCUGAUGGCGAGUGGCGAACGGGUGAGUAAUAUAUCGGAACGUGCCCAGUAAUGGGGAAUAACUAAUUGAAAGAUUAGCUAAUACCGCAUACGACCUACGGGUGAAAGCAGGGGAUCUUCGGACCUUGCGUUAUUGGAGCGGCCGAUAUCUGAUUAGCUAGUUGGUAGGGUAAAAGCCUACCAAGGCGACGAUCAGUAGCUGGUCUGAGAGGACGAUCAGCCACACUGGAACUGAGACACGGUCCAGACUCCUACGGGAGGCAGCAGUGGGGAAUUUUGGACAAUGGGGGAAACCCUGAUCCAGCCAUCCCGCGUGAGUGAAGAAGGCCUUCGGGUUGUAAAGCUCUUUCGGAAGUGAAGAAAACUUAUUUCGUAAUAUGUUAUAAGAAUGACGGUAACUUUAGAAGAAGCACCGGCUAACUACGUGCCAGCAGCCGCGGUAAUACGUAGGGUGCGAGCGUUAAUCGGAAUUACUGGGCGUAAAGCGUGCGCAGGCGGUUUUGUAAGUCAGAUGUGAAAUCCCCGAGCUUAACUUGGGAACUGCGUUUGAAACUACAAGACUA
rnacentral:rRNA from 1 species